GAACAGAUUUGAAUGUCAUUCUGUCAUUGAUUCUUUCCAAUAUUAAUGUUGCUCUAGGCCUAGCAUUGACUUGCUUGUUAUUUGUGCAGAAUUGUCAUUGCAACAUGCUGGUGUAAGUCUGAGCAUGCAGCAAGAACUGGCUUAGGAUGACUUGGAUACCAUGAUAUGAUGAAUCUAGAGUGGUAUACUGCUCCAAACUCCAACUUGGCUAAUGUCCCUGCAGCAGAUGAUUAUCACACUGCAGCACAUGGAUGUGGCGGUCUUGCAAUAUGUCUGACUUGGUCUUGCUGGUACCUAUCU